GAGCUAUACAUGAAGGAUUUUAAAAACACUUUGUAUUUGAUUUUCUCAAAUCAAGAACUUGUUUUGAAAGACUUCCUUGAAAAAAAGAUGGCAGUAAUUAAGGUUGUAAAAAAUGCUUGGACUACCGUUUGUAAUAUUUUGCAUGUUGGUGAUAAACAUCAUUUACGUCAGUCUGAAUUGUUAGAUUUUAUGGGUCGAGCCGACGAUUCACAUUUACAUUUUUUAAAGGAUUAUUGGUCAUUGAAUAUAGAGUCACUAAAUGAACAAGACAACAUGGGUUUUAAAAGAUUUGCGGACCUUGUGAUUUUUAUUUGCGCAAAAAAAAAU